AUUGAACGCUGGCGGCAUGCUUUACACAUGCAAGUCGAACGGCAGCACGGGUGCUUGCACCUGGUGGCGAGUGGCGGACGGGUGAGUAAUACAUCGGAACGUAUCCUGAAGUGGGGGAUAAUGCAUCGAAAGAUGUGCUAAUACCGCAUAUACUCUGAGGAGGAAAGUAGGGGAUCGAAAGACCUUAUGCUUUUGGAGCGGCCGAUGUCUGAUUAGCUAGUUGGUAAGGUAAUGGCUUACCAAGGCAACGAUCAGUAGUUGGUCUGAGAGGACGACCAGCCACACUGGGACUGAGACACGGCCCAGACUCCUACGGGGAGGCAGCAGUGGGGAAUUUUGGACAAUGGGCGCAAGCCUGAUCCAGCAAUGCCGCGUGAGUGAAGAAGGCCUUCGGGUUGUAAAGCGUCUUUCAGUUGAGAAGAAAGAUUGUAACUAAUAAUUAGCAA
rnacentral:rRNA from 1 species